rnacentral:rRNA from 1 species
AAAACGACUCUCGGCAACGGAUAUCUCGGCUCUCGCAUCGAUGAAGAACGUAGCGAAAUGCGAUACUUGGUGUGAAUUGCAGAAUCCCGUGAACCAUCGAGUUUUUGAACGCAAGUUGCGCCCAAAGCUGUUAGGCUAAGGGCACGUCUGCCUGGGBGUCACGCAUCACGUCGCCC